CGUGGCAUACGGCUCAGUAACACGUAGUCAACAUGCCCAGGGGACGUGGAUAACCUCGGGAAACUGAGGCUAAACCGCGAUAGGCCAAGAUUUCUGGAAUGGAUCAUGGCUUAAAUCUAUAUGGCCUCUGGAUUGGACUGCGACCGAUCAGGCUGUUGGUGAGGUAAUGGCCCACCAAACCUGUAACCGGUACGGGCUCUGAGAGGAGGAGCCCGGAGAUGGGCACUGAGACAAGGGCCCAGGCCCUAUGGGGCGCAGCAGGCGCGAAAACUCUGCAAUAAGCGAAAGCUUGACAGGGUUAUUCUGAGUGAUUUCCGCUAAGGAAAUCUUUUGGCACCUCUAAAAAUGGUGCAGAAUAAGGGGUGGGCAAGCCUGGUGUCAGCCGCCGCGGUAAUACCAGCACCCCGAGUGGUCGGGACGAUUAUUGGGCCUAAAGCAUCCGUAGCCGGUUCUGCAAGUCCCCCGUUAAAUCCAACUGCUCAACAGGUGGGCUGCGGAGGAUACUACAGAGCUAGGAGGCAGGAGAGGCAAGCGGUACUCAGUGGGUAGGGGUAAAAUCCGUUGAUCCAUUGAAGACCACCAGUGGCGAAGGCGGCUUGCCAGAAUGCGCUCGACGGUGAGGGAUGAAAGCUGGGGGAGCAAACCGGAUUAGAUACCCGGGUAGUCCCAGCCGUAAACGAUGCAGACUCGGUGAUGGGUUGGCUUCGCGCU
rnacentral:rRNA from 1 species